AUAGCAUUUGCUUUAGCUUUAGCUUUCACAAGUGUUAGGGAGCAACAUAGACUGACCUUGGCUAAGGUCUGAUGGGCUUUGGGUUUUCCCCUUAAAGCCUGUCUCCCCAUCUCUCCACCUGUGACUGCCCCAGGGCACUGACCUGGGGCUACAGCUCCAAGGAAUGAGUCCCAGUUCCAGGGACCUUUGUCCCUGAAUAGGCUGGGCUUGGGGAGGAAGGUAUACCAUUGUUGAGUUCUACAAAAACACUUAGAGAUCUGAAGAGAGGGGGAGGCUGCAGUGAUCCUGGCACCUAUCUUUCGGACUACCCCCUAGCAUGGCCCUUCUGGGAGGCGGUGCCAGGGUGCCUGGACCAGAUCCAACUCAGAAAUCAGAGCUGGAAAGACUUGAAAGGUCAUCAUGGCCAGCCACAGGCCCUCCUAUAGAUGCGGCCCAUAACAGGAGACAGAGGCACGGUGGUCCACAGUCUUCAGCUGGGAUAGCAAAAGAGGAGGCAGAGAAUGCAGCGACCACAUCUAGCUGGGAAGAGGACCCAGCAGUAUGGCUGUGUGCUUUCAGCCACGCCACUGCUCUGACAGCUCUGAUGUCCCCGCGUUGUGGAUGUGGUUUGCUCUGUCACCUCAUGGCCCUGUCACCCUGCCUCCCUGCUGUGAUGAACUGUACCUCUUCAAACUGUGAGUGAAAGUAAAGGCCUCCUCCUUUAAGUGACUUCUCCUUAGAUGUUUGACCACAGUGAAGAGAAAUGUGCAUGGGGAUAGAACCCAGGUCCCCACUGGUGCUCCACCUCUGAGCUACAUACAUCCCUAGCCCUGCCUCCCUUUUAGCUCCUCCCCCAUGCACACACCCUGCAUAUUCAUUGGCCAAUGGCAGAGCUGGUCCAGCUGCCCACCAGAGGGAUGCCUAGAGACUAGCAGGGGUUGGGGGUGGGGAGAAUAGAAGGCAAAGGCACCACAAGAUCGUGGGCAGCUCUUCCCUGUCCAACCGCACUCAGCAAGCUCUCUUUGGGAAAACUGCAAACCCAGUGCCCAUGCAGGGUUCUCCCCAGCAGAGCUGGAUGGGCAUCUUGGGGCCUGACAGUCAUGUGUGAGCUAAGUAAGAGAGCAGUCAAUGGGGUUCUCAGGGAGCAGAGGCGGGGUACUGUGCUCUGAGACUAGAGGUGUCUCUUUAAGACUUGAGCUCGGUGCCUCUGGGAUAAAGAGCCAGUCUGGGAGAAGGCAGGGACCCACAGUUUAUUUUAUUUGACAUUUUUCAACGCCAGGACACUUUAGAGCCAAAGAGGAAACGAAUCCCAUCUGUUGCUGAGCCCCCAAGAGAAGUUCAAGAGGACAGGCUAGGGAGAGAAAGGAGGGGAAGGGGGAGGAAGCAAAAAGCUGGAACAUCUAGCCACACACGGUGCACGGACACCACCUGGAAGAGCCGGGGUAUGGCAGAGUCUCCACACUCCCUCUGUGUUUACCCACAGCUCCAUCAAGAUGGAGUCUGCUGAUGCUGCCUACUGCUCUCUGGCCCUCGGCGCAGGUUGUACUAUGUCUGUCCAGCUAAGGAUGUAGAUGACACACCUCUGUGAUAUAAACAGCACACCCUGGAGUUGUGGGGGUUGGCAGGCUUGUGGAUGCUUUGGCCUGCUACCUCCCAUGAGUUAAUACCACAGAGUUCACACACAGCCCACCCAGACUAGCCCUGACACAGACAGACAUGGCUGACAUAAGUCAGAACCACACCCGGGGGAGCGGAGAUGGGGUGGGGUGAGGAGACUCUGACUUCCCUUCCCAGCACCUGAGUCUGCCUCUGGCCUAGACUCCCUCCCGUCUGUCUCUGGAUGCUAAGGAUGGGGAGGACAGAUGGCCCGGAGACUUAACUUCAUACUUAGAUUAAAUUCCAGUCCCCACUAUUUUUAGAAAAACAAAUUCCUUUUGUCUUUUCAAAGGGUAAAAAUGUCCCAAGCUGUCCUCUCUGACAGUCUGCAGGGCUGUGGGUUGAAUAUCGCCCCGCAGGACUGCUUCUGCUGUCAAGUCGGCAAUCAGUAUAGGUGCCAGCUUUAAGAGGCUUGCUGACAGCUUGAGAACUUCCAUGGGAGGGGAAGGGGCCACCAAAACAGGAGCAGUUGGGAAAACUGGCUCACUUUAGAAGGCACUGACAUUAGGUGGGGAUGUGUGUUCUCUUUCUUUUCUCUUUUCUUUCUUUAUCUUUUUUUUUUUUUUGUCUAUAGAGUAGCUGACCAAUCACUCAUUAACAACCUGCUGACAUAUUUAGAUGUUCUCAUCUAUAUAUGAGAUUUUAACACUCAUCUCAUUUUCCCCAGACAAUAAUAUUUGAAUUAAUCAGCACGAGUGAUUUUAAAGCUGAGUCCAGCUAAAUAUUAAGAACUUUGUCUUAAGAGCUAAUACCAUGGAAAAGGCAGCUGCUUCACAACUUUGGGAGAACGUUUUGGAAACUGUGGUUUCCUGGGGCGGCAGUACUACUCUGGGGUAGACUAGAGGCUUGGGAUUUUAUUUUCUUUUUAAAAAUUAGCUGUAAAACUCUUAGAAGAAAACACAGGAGAAUAACUAUAGGACCUUGCAUUUAUCAGUGGUUUCUUGGAUGUGAUCCCCAAAGCACAGGCAAUGAAGAGGAAAAAAAGAAAAUCAGAUACACUAGAGCUCUUCAAAGCAAAGCCUUCAGCGGGUGUAAUGGUGUGUGCCUAGAGUUCCAUCUGCUAAGGAGGCCAAGGAAAGAGGAGUGCUUAAGGCCAGGAAUUCUAAAACAUCCUUGAAAACAGUGAGACCCCACCCAUCCGUUACACCAUGCACACACGCACGCACACUCGGAACCAGGCAUGGCGCUGUGAAUCUGCAGUUCCAGUACCUGAGUAGCUGAGAUAUGAGGAUCUUGAGUUUGAGGCCAGUCUGGGUUAUUUAAUAAGACCUUGGCACAAAUUAAACAAAAACAAAACCACCUAAAGCCAAAACAAUUCCUGUGUGUGCGCAUCAAACCACAUUACCAAGAAAAAAGAAGGGUAACCCACAGAAUGGUAGAAAAUAUUUGCAAAUCAUAUAUGCAAUCAAAGAUUACUACCCAAAAUAUAUUUUUAAAAAAACUUCUAAGAGCAAAAUCCAAAUAAUUGAACUUUUUAAAGGGCAAAGGGUUUGAGUAGAUGUUUCUAGAGAGAAAAGCUCUAAAGGGUCAAUAAUCGCUAAAAGACAUCACUGCUCCUUAGGGAAGUGCAAACCAAAACCAUAAUGGGAUAUCUUCUCUCCUUUAUUAGACAGGCUAUUAUUAAAAAAAUAUACUGUUUGAGAAUGUGGAGAGAAGGCAACUCUCACAUGAUGAUGAAGGAGACGAAAACUAGGGCAGGCAUCCCAGAGAACAGCAUGCUGGAUCCUCAAACGAUUAUAGAGAGUAUAGACCUGUCCUCUGGCCCAGCAACCCGUGACUGGGUAGACUGCAUACACUCCUGUAGUCACACCUUUAUGGUCACAAUUAAGGACAGCCAGGGCCCCGAAUCAACCUGUGUGUCCACUGAUGGACAGAUGAGAAAGAAAACAUGAUACACAUCGUGAAGGAAUGUUAUUCGACCAUAAAGAGAACGCAAUUGUGCCCCUUCCGUCACGGGGAUGAAUAUGGAGAACUCUGUGUUGGCUGCAGUCAGCAAGGCACAGAAGGUGAUUAGGUCAGGUGCCACUCAUAUGUGGAAGCUGGUCUUCUCAGGAGGAGGGAGGAGGGUGGCAGGAAGGAGGUGAAAGCUACUGGAAGUACGGGGUCAGGGAGGCUGACGAGCAAAGAAGUACAGUUGGGACUGAAGAGUAACUUUUUAAACAAGAUUAUUUUAUUCUUUUUUUUUUAAGAUUUAUUUAUUUAUUAUAUGUAAGUACACUGUAGCUGUCUUUAGACACUCCAGAAGAGGGAGUCAGAUCUCGUUACGGAUGGUUGUGAGCCACCAUGUGGUUGCUGGGAUUUGAACUCUGGACCUUUGGAAGAGCAGUCGGGUGCUCUAACCCACUGAGCCAUCUCACCAACCCCCGAUUAUUUUAUUCUUAAUAGUGUGUGUGUGUGUGUGUGUGUGUGUGUGUGUGUCUGUCUGUCUGUCUGUCUGUCUAUCAUACAUGCACAUGAGUGUAGGUGCCCAAGGAAGCCACGGGCAUGGGAUUCCUCUGAAGCUGAGUUAUAGGUGGUUGUGAGCCACCUAACAUGGGUACUAGGAAGCCAACUCGGGUCCUCUGUAAGAGCAGCAUGCACUAUUAACCACGGAGCCAUCUCACCAGUCCCAAGUAACUUUUAAUAUUCUAUGGUAUUACUAAAGUAUGAGAAAUGCCUUCUAAUACUCUGUGGCUGACGGCAAUUAAUUGUAUACUUCAAAAUAGCUGGUAGAGAGGAUUUUUCAUGUUUCCGACACAGAAAAAUGUCUUCAUUGAUGGACUUGUCAAUUACUUGAUCUGACCACUUUGUAUACUUUUAUUGAAAUAUGUGGAGAUGCAUGACUGUGAUCUAGCACUUAGGAGGUGGAGGCAGGAGAAUCAGGAAUUCAAAGUCAUUUUCAGCUACAUAGUGUGUUCAAUCCCAUCCCAUGUUGUAUGGCCUCAUUCUGCUUCAAAAACCAGAACUAAACAACAUAAAACACCAACUAACCCCCACUCCAACAAUCAAAACAAAAACUAUAUUUGAAAAAAAAAAUCACAAUGCAACACCACUGAUGGAUUUUAAGUGUUUCAUAGAGGUCGUGUGCUAGAAGCUUGGGGAGGUGGUAGAUCGUUUAGGAAGCAGAACCUAGUUUAAUGCCUUAGAUCAUUAUGAGUGUGCCCUUAAAGGCUAGGAGACCUUGUUCUUAUCCACAGAGCCACUGGCUUCACCGAGCUCCCCCACCCACCCCCCAUGAUGUACUUACUACAUUGUCAUGGACCUCAAAGCAACAGAGACUACGGUCCAUGCACUGAAACCCUCAAGACUCUGACUCCAAACUUUCCUCUUUUCAAACCACCUUUCUCAAGCAUUCUGCUACAGUAACAGAAAGCUGCCUAACACAAUGAGGAUGCUACAGUAACAGAAAGUCUGCUACAGUAACAGAAAGCUGCCUAACACAAUGAGGAUGCUACAGUAACAGAAAGUCUGCUACAGUAACAGAAAGCUGCCUAACACAAUGAGGAUGGCCACUUUUUCUUAAACCAGAAAUGGAUAAGCAGUGAGACUUCAGAGUACCAAGAACUGGUGGCAAUGGAAAAUGGUCCCAAUUCAACAGAAAACAGUAUAGUGGUUCCCCGAGAGAGGACACACAACAGCAAUUCCAUGUGACCAGCAAUUCCUCUCUACGUGCAUGCCAAAAAGAACUAAAAGCAAGGACUCAAGCAGGUAUGUAUACAACACGGUCCAUAGCAACCCAAUGUAGGUUCCUUAACCUAAGCUUCCUGAACCUAAAAUGUGGCUUAAAAACAAAAAACCAAAACUAAAACCGAAACCAAAACCAAAACCAAAACCAAACCUGAACAUCACACUCCAGGGAAUGUUAUUCAGCCAUGAAAAAGGAAAUUCGGACACAUCCUACAAUAUGAAUGAGCUUUGAUGAUGUUAUGCUAGGUAACAUAGAUCACAAAAAGACACUUGCGUAAGUUGCCUAGACUAGUCCAAACCACAGAGUUAAACUUGUACAUGGUAGGUGCCAGGGGCAAGAGUGUAGCAGGAAGGGAAGCCACUGUUGAAUGGAGUAUGGAGUUUCAGCUUGGUCACCUGAAAUGCAGUGGAGGUGGGUGGUGGUGACCAGGGACCACAAUGUGAAUGUAUUUAGUGCCACUGAACUUCAUUUAAAUCUGUCUCUUCUAGAACAGUGGCUCUUUGCACACUUCACUAAUUUCCAAACUUAUUUUUAAGCAUGUGACUCCUUUGGUGCCAGGGUCCGAGUCUCUCUCCAAUUUACUGUGCUCACUUGCUUGAAGAAUGUGCAUGUCCGGUUUGCUGAGUGACAAGCCAGGAAGUCACCUGCUGAUAGAUAGGGCCAGGACAGUUGCCUUGUGGAAGCUGAACACAGCUGGGGAGCACUUGUCAGAGAACAGUCCCCAUGUGACAACUGAGAAAGGGUGAGAGCCACUGCUGCCCACUGUGGCUCACGUGGACAGUCCGAGGCAAACUGUGUCACCCACGAGGGGUUGGGGUGACAGAGGCUCAGAAACCAGCUACACUGCUCAGGUGGGCCAGCCCUGAAGGUCCCUGGGAAGUAGACAUUUAAAUGGCUGUAGGACCCAGCUGAUAGGUGGAUGGGGAGUGUCACCAUGUGGGUAGGAAGGGCCCGAUCCAUCUUAUGAACUGGAAAAACAAUUUUCUUAGGAAAGUGACUUUAAAAAAAAGAUUUAUUUAUUUAUUUUAUGUAUGUGAGUACACUGUAACUGUACAGAUGGUUGUGAACAUUCAUGUGGUUGUUGAGAAUUCAAUUUUUAGGACCUCUGCUUGCUCUGGUCAACUCCACUCACUCAGUCCCUGCUUGCUGUGGCCCAAAGAUUUAUUUAUUAUUAUACAUAAGUACACUGUAGCUGACUUCAGACGCACCAGAAGAGGGUGUCAGAUCUCAUUACGGGUGGCUGUGAUCCACCAUGUGGUUGCUGGGAUUUAAACUCAGGACCUCUGGAAGAGCAGUCAGUGCUCUUACCCACUGAGCUCUCUUACCAGCCCAGGAAAGUGAUUUUUAAAAAAGAAAACUUGUAUGCAUGCUUUGUCUGCAUGUAUUUCUAUGCAUCAUAUGCACAUCUGCUGCUGGAGACCAGAAGAGGGCAUCCGAUCCCUUGGGACUGGAGUUGCAGGUGGGAAUGAGGUGCCAUGCAGGUGCUGAGAAUUGAACUCAGGUCCUCGGGAAGAGCAGCUAGUGCCCUUAGCAACAGAGCCAUCUCUCUUGUUCAUUGUUAUAAAUGAUAAAAUCUGGCUGAAAACCACAGUGGGGAUGAGAAUAUUAAUAGAAACCAAGGAGGGCAGCUCAGGUUUGCAGGGACACCUAAGGAUUUUCUGGAAUAGAGAGCAUUUCCUGCUUUAGCGUAAAUGUGUAGUCUGAAAACACGUAACUGAGGAGCAAUCCGCUGCAUUGAAGUCACUGGACAUUGUGAGCUGAUUUCUUUCAAUGCUGGCUUCCUAAGCACAUUUAGGAUGGUGUGGUGGUUUGGAUAGGAGUGGCCCCAUAGACUCCUAUGUUGGAAUGCUUGGCCCAUAAGGAAUGGAACAAUUAAGGGGUGUGGCCUUGUUAGAGGAAGUAUGUUACCAUGGAGGUGGGCUUUAAAGUCUCCUAUGCUCAAGUGUGGCACACAGCCUCCUGAGGCCAGCAGAUCAAGAUGUAGAACUCUUAGCACCUUCCUUCUCCAGCACCAUGUCUGCCUGCAUGCCCUCAUGCUUCCUGCCAUGACAAUGCCAAUACCUAUCGGAACUGUGAGCAAGCCCCAAUUAAACGUCCUUUAUAAGAAUUGCUGUGGUCACGGUGUCUCUUCACAGCAAUAGUAGCUCUAGCUAUGACAGACACCCUUCUGUUUAUGGUCCUAGACAAGUACUCAGGGACAGGAUACUUAAAACUAGGGCUCAAAGUUAUCAGUAACUGAAAACUGACCAUAAAAGACAUAUGGAAUGGCAUUGCAAACGGCAUCACAAUUAAUAGCUUCAUCUACUUUGUAAAUAUCAUCGUGAUGUUUAUCCUAUGUUUUCCGUAGGACUCCAGGCCUCCCUGGCCCAGCAGCAGGGUGAGCAGAGAUGGCCGGUUCUCAUUCCUGUCGCUCCUGAGGACUUUGUUUUGACUUAAUUAAGGGCACACACACACUAUGUUGAGGAAAGAGAAUAAACGGUGGAGGCUGUGCGUGAGGCGGGCAAAGGCAACAGCUCCCCUUUCCUUUUGUCCUCGUAGCCUUCUAUGCCCCACACCUCAUCAUGUUCCCAGUGUUAGUCAGGGGCCACUAGAUCUGUCCUCACUGCUGAUUCUGGGGGGAUGGGGACCCAUAUAGGCCGUACACUCCUGUACAGUCUCUGAGGGUAAGGCUGUGUCCGUUGGUUAGUCCAGGACUCUAACAGUCUGAACAGCUAACACAGUGAGCAACUACGCUGAGCCAGGAAUUAUACUAAGAAACAUAUAAGGAAUUAUACAUAUACUAACCCUUUUUAAUCUUCAAAAUGGGCCACAGAUCGUCCUGUAGUUAUCUGUAUUCAGCAGAUAGGCAGAUUAAAGUCUGGAGGUUAACUAACUAGCUCAAGCUCAGACAGCUAGUUAAUUCUAGAAAUCCUGCUACUUUAGUCAGAGCAGGUCUCUCCAUGCAGGGGUCCUAUGCCUUGGUACUUGGUACUUUGGGAACAUUAGUGGGGUUGUAAGAAUGCUGAUGUACCCCGAGGGUGAGGGUCCUAGAAUUCCCUAGCACAGAUGCCACAGUCCUGAGCCCUCAGCCCCAAAGGCUCUGCACUAUCCGGCUGGCACAUCAAGGGACAGGGACUUCAUGCUCCGACACUGGCACUUGCCAGGGCGUAUGGUCUGUUUGGAACAGCUUCUCCACCACCUUGGCUCUCCCUUCUCCCCAUCCCAGGCGUCUGACCACAGCAGCAGCUGGGCUCUGACUACAGCAGACCUCUCUAUCCCAGCUCCAGGCUGGCGGAUCUGAGCGUGAGGUUGGGCUGCCCCUGGGAUCCUCCAGGCAGUAAACAAGUCAUGGAUGCGUCAGUUGUUUUGCUCCAGAGCAGCCUCAUCAGCUGGACAGACCCUGACCAGACCUGCCAAGUUUAUCCCCCUGGGUGGGCUGCGGGCUGGGAGUGGCGGAUGGCCUGGAACUCAGCGCCUUCUUUCCGUGCCCUUGAAGCUCAAGGGCUUUAUUAGGAGCAGCGAUCUCUGGCAGGCUGGUUUUUAGAUACCUGAGGAAUAGGGAAAGGGCUGCAGUGGCUUUACAGGGGAUCUUAGGGGCGGAGACUCCGUAAGUGAAGAACGGAAGUGGCAGACAGGUCUGCUGAGAGAUACACCAGAGAAGUUUCCAGAACCUUGCAGCACUCUGGACUCGGGGCUUGAAAAAGUUGGCCAGAACACCCCAAACCCCAACAAUUCAAACGCUUCCUGUCCUCUUUUCACUUCCAAGAUUGCCAUGUCUGCCCCAGCUGUCUCCCCAAGUCUACCCUGUCAGAAAAAGAUAAACUGGGCAUCCCUGGGGGGUCCAAGGUCAGGAAAGAAGGCUUAAUAGGGUGGGGUAGGAAUAGGGUGUGGUGUUAUGGGUAGAAGGAUUGCAGAAGCAGAAGUCCACCAAGGAUAUAAACCAAGGGCCAGAGUGGUAACCCCUGGCAGGGGAAGUGGAGUCACCACCCCGACUCUUGUCUGACUGGCCCUUUCAUCUAAAUGUCACUUUCUCUUAGCAGGCAGAAGGAGACGACAUUAUUCACCUGUUUUUUUGCAAAGGUGGAAGCAAAUUAAGUCAUCCACAAUCUACCCAGUUUGCAGAAGAGCUGGCCCUCAGAUAUGUCCCCAAGUCUCUGGAGGACAGGCUCAGGGAGAAGGGCUUAGCUUAAUGGACCAAUCAGCUCUUCCGUUUCCAGCCCCACCUACCAUACACAUCUAGAAUAAGCUGCAGCUGGUUGCAGAAGCAGUCACCUUAGGCACAGCAGCACUCUGAAGAUGUCUUUUAUCAUAGCACAGUAACUCUAUCCCCUGCCACCGCCCUGUUCUCCCACACCUCCUGCACCAGCCGGCCUCUUGUGCUUACCC